rnacentral:lncRNA from 10 species
CAGCUUUCAUAGUCACAAAUUAUUGCAAUAUUUUGCUGUUAUACUAAAUAUGGGUUUUUUUUGUUUGUUUUUAAGACAGAGUCUAGCUCUGUUACCCAGGUUGCAGUGAGCUGAGAUUGUGCUGUUGCGCUCCAGCCUGGGCAACAGAGUGAGACUUCAUCUCAAAAAAGAAAAAAAAAGGUGAAAGGAUGACUUAAACCCAGGGUGUCGAGGUUGCAGGGAAAUUCAGAAAUGCCACUGAAGGGCCAGGCAUGGUGUCCAACACCUACAAUCCCAGCACUUUGGGAGGCAGAAGCAGGUGCAUCACCUGAAGUCGGGAGUUCGAGACCAGCGUGGCCAACAUGGUGGAAUGCUGUCUCUACUAAAAAUACAAAAAUUAGCAGGAUGUGGUGGUGCGUGCCUGUAAUCCCAGCUACUUGGGAGGCUGAGACAGAAGAAUCAUUUGAACCCCGGAGGCAGAGGUUGCACUCCGCCUGGGUGACAAGAGUGGAACUCCAUCUUAA